rnacentral:rRNA from 1 species
UACAGAGGGUGCGAGCGUUAAUCGGAAUUACUGGGCGUAAAGCGCGCGUAGGCGGCUUUUCAAGUCGAUUGUGAAAUCCCCGGGCUUAACCUGGGAACUGCAGUCGAGACUGUCUAGCUAGAGUAUGGGAGAGGGAAGUGGAAUUUCAGGUGUAGCGGUGAAAUACGUAGAUAUCUGAAGGAACAUCAGUGGCGAAAGCGACUUCCUGGACCAAUACUGACGCUGAGGCGCGAAAGCUAGGGUAGCAAACGGG